UCUGCUAUUUCCUCCUUUCAGAUGAAUUCAUCUAGAUUUCUCCUCCCUCCAACUUCAUCCCAAGCAAAUAAACCACCAGUCUGUGUUAAAAUCCCAGUCGAACAAUUCAACCACACCCCAACAGCAUAUCAAAAUGCCAGAAUGCCCAUUGUAAAACCAAACAUUCCUCCCCCUCCUGUGCCACCAGCCAAAUCAGCCAUACCUCCAGCCAUGGUAUGUCAGCUUCCUAAUC